rnacentral:rRNA from 1 species
GUCUACAGCCAUGCCACCCUGAACAAGCCCGAUCUCAUCUGAUCUUGGAAGCUAAGCAGGGUUGGGCCUGAUUAGUAGUUGGAUGGAGACCCCCUAGGAAGACCAGGUGCUAUAGGCA